ensembl:lncRNA
CAUCUGUCAGCAUCACCCAACCACACAUCCCUAAAGGUACACUCUGUCAGAUCACCCAACCACACAUCCUCAAGGUACACUCUGUCAGCCUCACCCACCAACACAUCCCUCAAGGUACACUCUGUCAGCAUCACAACCCAAACCACAUACUCCCUAAGGUACACUCUGUCAGCAUCCACCAACCACACCUCCCUAAAGGUACACUCGUCGCAUCCCCAACAUCCUCAGGUACACUAUGUGCAACCCAACCACAUAUCCCUCAAGGUACACUCUGUCAGCACACCCAACCACACAUCCCUAAAGGUACACUCUGUCAGCAUCACCCAACCACACAUCCCUCAAGCUGCACCAACUGUCCCUGUUCAGUGCCUGGACGAUGUGGAGAAGAACCUGAACCAUCGAACAGUCCGUAUGACCGAGCCCCGAGCCCCCCCUGUCCCCUCUAGCUCUGGCCGGCCCUGCCUUCCCCCCGUGGGCCCUCCGGCUCUGGAGGGUCUCAGGGAGGACUACUGGCCAAACGGUCCCUGGUCCAGCCACUACCCUGGAGCCUUGGGCCUGGACAGUACGAGCCCUGUCCUCCUGCCUCCUCCUCCUCUCAACCAGGCCUCUCUAGAUGACUCCUCCUGGUCCUUCCCCUCCCCGCCCAAACCCAGCGACGCCCUCUUCUGGGAGGGCCAGAGGCAGGGUCUGAGCCAGGGCAGCCCCAUCCACUCCUCCAGGGGUAGUACCCCCAUGAGCCCUAAUGGAGACUGGGCCAAGCCCCCACCCUACUGAGGUGGAGAACCCCCUGGCUCUAAGGCUGCCCUGCCGUGCAACACCAAACCUGCCUUAAGAUGAGGAGACAACUCCUAUGGACUCUCCAGCCUGGGGAACUUGCUCCAGGAUGAUUCAACUAGCCACAGAGCAAACCACGGGAGAAGCUUCUGAUGGGCUACCCUCUGACCCGGCCCAGACACACGGAUGACUCCCCUCUGACCCAGCCCAGACACACGGAUGACUCCCCUCUGACCCGGCCCAGACACACGGAUGACUCCCCUCCGGACCGGCCCAGACACACGGAUGACUCCCUCCGUACUGGCCCAGACACACGGAUGACUCCCCCUCGACCCGGCCCAGACACCGGAUGACUCCCCCUGACCCGGCCCAGAACACACGGAUGACUCCCCUGACCUGGCCAGACAACGGAUGACUCCCCUCGACCCGGCCCAGACACACGGAUGAUCCCCUCUGACCCGGCCCAGACACACGGAUGACUCCCCUCUGACCCGGCCCAACACACGGAUGACUCCCCUCUGACCCGGCCCCGACACACGGUGACUCCCCUCUGACCGGCCCAGACACACGGAUGACUCCCUCUGACCCGGCCCAGACACACGGAUGACUCCCCUCUGACCCGGCCCAGAAACACGGUGACUCCCCUCUGACCCGGCCCAGACACACGGAUGACUCCCUCUGACCCGCCCAGACACACGGAUGACUCCCCUCUGACCCGGCCCAGACACACGGAUGAUCUCCCUCUGACCCGGCCCAGACACACGGAUGACUCCCCUCUGACCCGGCCCAGCACACGGAUGACUCCCCUCUGACCCGCGCCCAGACACACGGAUGACUCCCCUCUGACCCGGGCCCAGACACCCGGAUGACUCCCCUCUGACCCCGGCCCAGAAACACGGAUGACUCCCCUCCCUGGGAAUCAGGAAGAGUUCAUCCACCCAAGAGAGAAGAUGAUGGGAUGAGUCCUGGACAGCCAGAUUAUGACUGUGUUUAUGUGGUGUGUAUCCCUACUGGUAUUUACUAGAGCUCAAAGCUGUAGUGAACUAAUUUACAGUCUGACUGCUUUUCAAUUUUAGCCCCUCCCUCUAAUGUGACUUAUUUACAUGUUAUCUAUUAUAAAGGUGUAUAUAGUCAAUCCUUCUGUUAUCUGUCCUUAAUAAUAUAGAGUCUAGUGUGUCUGCGCUGUAACAGUACUGGUGUGUUAUAUAUAUUAUACAUACACACCCCAGUAGCACCUAAAGCUGUUUUUAAUCACACAACACAGCGUAGCCUACUGGUUAGAGGGGGGGGGCAGGUAGCCUAGGGGUUGAGGGGGGGGCAGGUAGCCUAGGGUUAGAGGGGGGGGCGGGAGCCUCUGGUUAGGGGGGGGGGGGGGGGGCGGUAGGGGGGGCAGUAGCCUAGGGGUUAGAGGGGGGGGGCAGGUAGCCUAG